AUCUGUAGCUUGCCGCCUCUGGUUACGAGUCGCUGCUGCCUAGGUUGUGCGACUCCACUCCGACACCACCGUUAAGCAGGAUGUCGUCGCCACUCGUUGGAUCUACUAGUUUGGAUACAAAGUUUGGAGGCAUUUUAAAGUCUUUUGGGUGCUACCGACAAGAUUAUGAGUUCCAUCAAUUUUGGUUCAGUUUGGACAAAUAAAUAGAACUUUGGAACUGGCCUCGAACCAAGCCGCGACUUCGGGUGGAUUCAAAGUCUUCUAAGAGUUGUAAGAAGGUUAAUUACUUGGGUUAAUUUGGGACCAAAUUUGAGGUAAGUAAUCUUACCACUGGAACUGCCCACGGGCCAAGC